CCUGGUCCAGGCCAAGCAACCGUCGACGCCCCAUCCUCCACUGAGUUCGCCAUUCCCAAGCCUGCCCCUGUCCCCCCUCCUCCCUCCGCCCGAUCGAUCUCCUCCACCAAUACGCUGGAAUCGAGAUCAGCGACGCCGUCGAUGAUAGUGGCAGCAGGCCAGCCGGGAAGCCCAAGGGCGGCGAUGCGGCCGUCGCCAAGCGAUCCAGCAAGGGGAAGGAUGACGGGAUGACUCCAAGCGAUGGCCAACAGAUGAAGGACCGCGUGCAGUCUAGGGCCUCACCACUAAAAUUGCGGUGGUCGCUCGAAAAGGAAGAGGAUUCGGCGCACAGAUCGAGGAACAGGACGGUUGCAAGUCGGAGAGUAAGAGGCCAACUAGGCGGAUACUCUUCGCACUCCUCGGUACAAACUACAGAGCCCUCCACGAAACAGUCCUCUUCUACUGUGCCCAGCAGCGAUCAACAAUAAUCUGGAGGGCGCACAAGUACCUCGAGUCCCAGAUCAUCCCCACGGUCUUAGUUCAGAAAGAGGUCAUGAGAAUAAAAAUCACCACAUACAAGGCUUUGAAAAGAACUGCCCGGCGUUCUUAGCGACAAUGCAUGGAAUCCAAUGCUUCUAACAAAAUGUCCAGAAAAAAUUGCAUAUGGAGACAAUGUCACACAUCGAGAAAGAAUCAGUACCGGCAAACAUGAUGGUUUGGUUGACAAAAUGUUGUUUCUUUUUCCCCGCCGGUGAAGCAGUUAAGCAGGUCUUGCCAAGAGGAUUAACAACGUUGAUUCUGCAAGUGCUUGGAUAUAACGGGGUAUCAGUUCUCUACUUUUUACGUGUUUGUUUAUUUUCUUUGUGAAACCUUAGCAUGCACUAGCUUAGUCAAAAGCCGCGCAGAAUAAUAUAUGCUCUUUCUUUCAGUACAGAUCCAACAACGCCUUACUAGAUUUUAUGUUAUGUAACUCUGUAUGUUCUAGCAGAGAGGCACCCAAAGGAGAGAAGUAGAAGUCAAGUGAGAACAUAAUACUGAUUCUAAGGCCGCUGAGGCAAUCAGCCCUGGAGAAAGCUUUGUCAACAUUUGGAAAGGGAAAGAAGGCCACGAGCGGUACAAUAUCAGGUCUAUAGUCACCUGUGUAGAUUGGGCCGUCAGAUCCUGAAGAUGACCAGGAACAGUGUGUUUGAGAUAUGUAGGCCAAUGUCCGGAAUAUUUCAAAAGUCAGUCCAAACCCCAAGAGCCAUCUUCAAUUUGAACUAAAACGAGAAAGUUUUUCGUUUGCUAGAUGUCAUGAAAAUCAACACUGGAGUAAGCAUUGGCAGUACCUCAAUAUAUCGUUAGGUUUUCUGACGCAAGAUUCAGCAUAUGUGUAUUGAUUCAGUUAGCGUCAUGGGGAAUGCUUCGUUUUUUUGAAGUUAA